GCACUGUUGAAUAGUCCCACAAUAGGACGAAACGACCGUCCAGUGC
rnacentral:hammerhead_ribozyme from 1 species